rnacentral:rRNA from 2 species
AUGUCUACUUGGAGGUUGUGCCCUUGAGGCGUGGCUUCCGGAGCUAACGCGUUAAGUAGACCGCCUGGGGAGUACGGCCGCAAGGUUAAAACUCAAAUGAAUUGACGGGGGCCCGCACAAGCGGUGGAGCAUGUGGUUUAAUUCGAUGCAACGCGAAGAACCUUACCUGGUCUUGACAUCCACAGAACUUUCCAGAGAUGGAUUGGUGCCUUCGGGAACUGUGAGACAGGUGCUGCAUGGCUGUCGUCAGCUCGUGUUGUGAAAUGUUGGGUUAAGUCCCGCAACGAGCGCAACCCUUAUCCUUUGUUGCCAGCGGUCCGGCCGGGAACUCAAAGGAGACUGCCAGUGAUAAACUGGAGGAAGGUGGGGAUGACGUCAAGUCAUCAUGGCCCUUACGACCAGGGCUACACACGUGCUACAAUGGCGC